AAAAUCAGAUCCAGUUGUCAUCAUCAUGCCCACGUUCUGAGUAAACGUCAUGAAAUCUACUGGGACAACAUUUGAGAAACCAUCGUUCCAAAAAGUAGAGAAACAAAUUCCCUACGGAUACAGAAGGGAAACAGAAGUGCUUGCAGCAUCUCAUUUAUUUACCAGUGAGAGGAAGCAAGUGGGUGACUCUACCGGAAAAUCCAGAGAUAUUUGGGAUCUAGUGGGGAGAGAGGACGAUCAAAUAAUCUGA
rnacentral:lncRNA from 1 species